rnacentral:rRNA from 1 species
CCUCACCAUUCGGCCAGCCUCUCGCCCUCCUCUGCCCUUGCUCUCUCCACCGUCCUGCGCUCCGAUACUCCCAUAUGGCACCGUUCACGCGCCCAGCCCCACGAGCCACCGACUCCCCUAGAGUUACACCGGGACGCUACGUCCCCCAGAGGGGCCUGGUGCUGAAGCGGGUGCUCAAAAGCCUCCUCUCGUGGCUGCUGCGCCGCCGCCGCCGCCGUGCCGGCCGCCCCUGUCCCGGCAGGGGCGCCGCCGCGCCGCCGGGCCGUCGUGGCACGUAGUACUAACCAUCAACCACCACCUCUCCUCAACUGGAGUGUAUCCGUCAAUUAUUCUGCAGGUCAGGUCAAGUCGUACACGUCCGGUCCGGGCCGGCGUCACAAGCGGUGACCCAGCUGGCCGAGACGUAGACGGGUCAACGAGUCAAGCUAUCGGGGUUGCUCAGGAUGGUGGCAGAAAACCAAGUGUUGCAUCCGGCCUCCGGUCGUCAGUCAACUUAAUACUAUUGUUUCAUUGGUUAUUAUUUCGUUGCAUAAAAUACUGGAUACAUAUAGAUGGACCACACGCUUACUGACGGCAUCUCUUGCUGUUCGCGUGGGGCGUGCAUGUGUCUCCACGCUGUAAUAGGUCAUGUUAUUUUUUCGUUUUUUUUCUUUUAUAUAACACAUAUACCUGUUUUUUCGUUCUUGAUGGGCCGAAUUUCAUAAUAUUUGCGGUGAAUUCUGAUAAUCCAUGUCGAUGUCGUCUUACUCUUCUUCUUUUGGAUCUUGUUUUUUGUGAGGCGCUCGAGCAUGGACGAAUAUGCAAAUGGAACCAUUACUUCGGUGAAAUGAUCCUGCGUUGUAAGGCCAGCGAGGGCGACCAAACGCGCACCUCCGCCAAGCCUAUAUGACACCCGCGUGCGCCGUAUAGCGAAGACUCCUUUAAACGGGCUGGCCCAUGUCACGGCUGUUCUGGUGCAUUUUUUAUUGACAUUUCCCUUUUCCUUUUUCUUAUUUUCCUUUUCCUUUUCUAUUUCAGAUCUUGGUCUUUCUUCUGUUUUUUUGUUUUUAUUUUGAACCUUUUUUAUUGGUUUUGCAAUAUACAGUGAACUUUUUUUCCGAAUUUAUGAUGAAUAUUUGUUCAGUACAAAUUGUACUUUUUAAGUAUAUGGUGAACCUUUGUCAAAUAGAAAAUGGAUUUUUUAUAAUAUACAAUGAACAUUGUUUUUAUAUUACUUUGAACAGUUUUCAAAUAUAGGAUGGAAUUUUUUAAUUGCCGACUUCCUAAAGAGUACCACUAAAUCUAGCAGUCCAAAGACUAAAGUCAUGAACAACUUUUUGUAAGGUUACAUGAGCGGUGUGACAGUGCCC